rnacentral:lncRNA from 1 species
GAACCCCCAAACCCCAAACCUGGGAACCCCCAAAAACCCAAACCCCAAACACGGGAAAUCCCAAAUCUCAAACUUGGGAACUCCCAAAGCUGGGAACCCCCCAAACCCAGGAACCCCCAAACACCCAGAACCCCAAACCUGGGGAACCCCAAACCCCAAAAAUCCCAAACCUGGGGACCUCCCAGACCCUAAACCUGGAACCUCUGAAACCCCAAACCUGGAAACCCCAAACACCCAGAACCCCAAACCUGGGAACCCCCAAACCCCAAAACUGGGGAACCCCAAAACCUGGGAAUCCCCAAACACCCAGAACCCCAAACCCAGGAACUCCCAAAGACCCAAAACUGGGAACCUCAAAACCCCAAACCUGGGAACCCCCAAACAUCCAAAGCCCCAGACCUGGGGGGGAUCCUCAAAACCCCAAAGAAGCCAAACCUGGAGGGGAACCCCAAACCCCAAACCUGGGAACCCCCAAGCACCCAGAACCCCAAACCCCAAACCUGGGAACCCCCAAGCACCCAGAACCCCAAACCUGCCAAUGUCCCCAUGUCCCCUCACCGCACACCCGGCACUCUGGGGGCUGUCCCCACGUCCCCAGUGUCCCAGGGGAUGUCCCCAAUGUCCCUAACCCUGUCCCCAUGUCCCCAGUGUCCCCUCACCGCCAUGUAGGCCGCGCAGCCCGCGCUCCGGGUCUUGGCCUUGGAGUCCACCAGGCGGCCGCUGAUGCCGAAGUCGCAGAGUUUGAUCUGGCCCCGCUCGUCCAGCAGGAUGUUGGAGGGUUUGACGUCCCUGUGGAUCACGCCGUGCUUCUCCUUCAGGUACAGCAGCGCCUUCACGAUCUGUGGGACAGUGCCACCUCUGUGUCACCUCUGUGUCACCUCUGUGCCACCGUCACCCUGCCCAGAACACCCUGACUGUCCCCAGUGUCCCCUGUGGAUCACCCCAUGCUUCUCCUUCAGGUACAGCAGCGCCUUCACGAUCUGUGGGACAGGGACUGUCCCCAGUGUCACCUCUGUGUCAUCUCUA